AUGACUAUAAUUAACACUAAAAGUUAGCUAAAAUUCAGAAAAUAAAGGGGCUAACUCCUCCCAACACAGAUAUUAUAGUAAACCCUUGAUCUUAGCUUAUGACAACCUAGAAAUGAAGAGAAUUUAGCAUGGAAGGUGUGAGCUAAAUAUGAAAAGCAUGACUUCAUAUGACUCCUUACUAGAGAGUUUUAUUUUGAAUUUUUAAACUUUGGUUUCAAAAUGUUCAGCCCUCUCUCCUAUAAAUUGAUGUGCUUGGCUAAUUUUUUGUAAGAUUAAUGAAUGAGUGAACUGCUGCCAAAAUUGCUAGCCAUCUCACUCUCUUGUCUUGCCUCUCUAUGAUAAACACUUUAAUCUUCUUCUUCACCUAGCUCAAGUGAUAUGACCCAACCAAUCACUCUCCCUACUUAUCAUGCACCUUCAAGGAAUCCAUUGCUCCAUGAGAGUCAUCCUUGUGCGUUCGCAAAUCCUUCCAAAAUUAAAAAAAAAUCAAUUCGUUCAUAAAGACACAAUCCAUCAUUAGUCAUCAUUAGCCUAGGCAAAGCUAUAUAUACAAGAAUAAGCAAUGGCAUUUCUAAUCUGCAUGCCAUAACAACUGCAUUUACUGCCACUAUUGGGAUAGCGUUUGUCAAGAACUUCACUCACAUCAUACUAUGGGAACCUGCUGUCUCCAACAGUACCGCUUUAAUUUGCUCUGGGAGGACAUCCUGGCCUUCUCGGUAUUGUUGGCAAGAAACAGGAAAAGACUAGAUAUCAGAAGCAAAACAUAAGACAGCAACAAGAAAGACUGAGGCCAAAUUUUAAAGAUGAAACACUUGUGACAACCACUCACAUAAAUAACACAUGCUUAAAAAGUUUCAACAAUUGAAUAAAAAAGGACAGAACCUUAAAUUCUCCAGCUCAAGUUUAUCCAGUGGUCACCUCUCAUAACUGACAAGCUUCAUGCAUAUUGUACAUAGAUCAAUCAAACAGAGGGAGAGGAAGAUAGGGCUGAGACCGCUAUUAUGUUAUUGUACCAGGAGUAUGAGUUCAUAAAUAAUAAUAGUUUUGAGAAGUGGGAGUUAGUACUCAAAGUGUGACAUCAUGCAUAUCUCUACUAACAAUAUUAUGUUUAUGGUACAAUGUGCUAUUGCCCGAACAAAAACAAUGGCAAGCACAACAAUAAACAGGGAAAUUAAAAAGGAAACAUUUGUGUAAAACACUUCCAUCAAAAAAUAAAGCUACAUACCUCAGCUCUGAACACAUCUAAAACAAAACCAUUGAAACCGCUGAUAACUGCCUGCUGAGCAUCCAAUCCAAGGUUGUCCAAUGCCCUCAUGGUAGAAAGUAAAAAACUUGGUCUCGAGCACAAAUGUAGCACAGACACUGACACGGAUACUGACACGGACACUGAUACAAUACGGACACGAAGACGAAGAUAUGUAUAAUAUCUAAAAUAUAGGACACGAGAACACGGAUCAAUAUAUUAUAUAAUUAUGAAUUAUAUAAAUUAACAAUAAAGAUUUAUGUACACAAAUAUGUUCCGGAUUAUUUUUUUGAGCAGAAAGAUGUUUUUCAUGAUUGGUUCAAAAAUGUUUGUUUUUUGUUUUUGUAAUCAUAAUAAAAAUUUAUAUAAUAAGUUUGCGUUUUUAGAAAAUUAAUGUAUUUUUCCUUUUUAAAAUUAUGUUAGAACCAUACUAUAAGUGUCAGAAAUCCAACAAAUACUUUUUGAAUUGUACACUUCACGGAUACGUAUCCUACAAGUGUCAUACGAGUAUCCGAUAUGAGUUAGCUUGGUAAUCUAUCUGAACCAGGGAAAGCAGAGUGAACAGCUUCACAUCUUACUGUAUCUGACACCGACACGCCAUUUAAAAUAAGUGUAUGAGUUUCAUACAUUCUCUUCCCUUAGCCUAACAUCCACCUACAUAAGUUUCAGAAAAACUUAAGUCCAGUCAAAACAAUUUCAUCCGUUUCACCACUAUCAUUAAGUUCUGCGAAUCAAUAAGUACGACCUGAAUUCUUAUUGGUUUGUUUUAAUGGUCAAUGAAAUACUAUUAUUGGUAGCUGAACAGGCAAUAGAACAAAAUGGUAAAAAUAAGCCUAACCUAUUUCAACUUUAUGUCAAAAAAAUUAAAAAACAUAUUUCAACUAUUUUAAUUAUUAAUACAUUCACAGGUCAAAUGUUUGUGUAUUAAAAAAAAUCAAUCAUAAAACCAAUACUUUUCGGUUCCCAUGGUCACAUAAAUCUUUGAUACAUCACAUACUUAAUGGGUGUAAAAAAAAUCAAAACAAUGAUAGAAAGAAAGAAAAUCGAGGCAGGUGUCAAAAAACCUAAUUUAAAAUGUUUUCUAGCAAUUGUUUAAAUCGAGAAUUUUAAAAGAAAUUAAAAUUUUAGAAAUAUUUGAUUAUUUAAAAUUGUAGAAUUUUAAAUUUCAUCUAAAAAGUAAAAAUUUUAAAUUCUUCAUACUCUUCUCUUAUAUUAAAUAUUUAAAUUAACUAAUGUUUGAUAUUAAAAUUUCAAUUUAUAUAUAUAUAUAUAUAUAUAUAUAUAUAUAUCAGAAAAUAUUACAUGUAGCAGAAAAUAAAUUGCCCUGUCUAACGUGAGAAUGUGAGAAUUUGAAAUUAAAAAUUUUAAUUUGAUUUAUUUAAACAAAGUAUUUAAAGAUACAGGGAAUUUAAAUCACUUCAAAUUCUCUGAAACCUUUUAAAUUCCUCGUCCAAACACAAUAUAACAAAAAGAGACGAGGAUAAUGAUGAUGUCUAAAAAACCUAAACCAUCAAAAUAAUAAUAGAAAGAAAUAAAAUAAUGAUGGGUUUCAAAACACUUAAGCCAUCAAAACAAGGGUGUUUCUUUAUGCACCCCAUCAAAAUUCUUUCUGCACCCAUCAAAUUGGUGAAAUAACUAAAUGUUCCAUCUAAUUCACCCUCAUUUUGGAAAGUUCUUUCCAGAACAUACUCCAAAAAAGUUAUUCUAAAAAAUACAUUCUAGAAUAUAUUAUAUACAAUCCAGAAAGUUUAUUCCAAAAAAUGUUUUGAAAAACUUUCGAAAAAGAUAAUCUGAAAGUCAUUAAAAAAAGGGUAAAACAGUCUUUCUGAAAAUUAAUGGAGUACAGGAAGAAUUGUGAUGGGUGCAGAAAGAAACACUCUAAGAACAAUUCCAGAAAGAAAUAAAAACAAUGAUGGGUACUCUAAGAACAAUUCCAGAAAGAAAUAAAAACAAUGAUGGGUGCUGUUAGACUGGGCCCAUACACCAAAAAGACAGCCCAACUGGAUGAAGGACUUUAUAAUAGGAUAGACUCAUGUGUCCUUAGUAAAUGUCUGCCAUUUUAUUAUUGAAAGGUUUUUGUAAGGCCCAUGACCCUUUUUUACCCUUAUAGGGGACUAAGCAAUAGGAAAAGAGGGCAGAGAAGUUUUUGGUAACCCUAGUUUUAGAUUAACAGUAGCAAAAGCCUAACAAUUUGGUGCUUUCAUUGCUCCUACCAUGGCUCCCCAACCUCCAUCAACAGAUCUGAACGAGGCCUUAGCCAACAUCCAAACAAAUCUCACCAACAUCCAAAGCCAACUGGCCGAACACACUAGCAGACAAUCUACCUUAGAGGCUCAAAAUGACCACCUUCACUCUACAUUCACGUCCAUCCUGGACCAGGUUGCUCUAUUGACUCCAACGGAGACUAAAAUUCCACACAUAAACCAGCAAAGUAGCCAUCAUUCCAAUCACUCAAACCAGCAACCACCCAACACCCCUUCCAUACGACCACCCACACUCAACCUAUCCUUCUUUGACGGUACAAAUCCACUAGAUUGGCUUUUUCAAGCGGACCAAUAUUUCUCUUUCUAUCAAAUACCGUUGGACCAACGCAUUCCUAUGGUGGGGUUUCAUAUGCAGGGAGACGCUCUCUCAUGGUUUAAAUGGCUGCACAAUAACCACCUACUCACAGAUUGGCACUUCUUCACAAGGGCUUUGGAGCUUCGUUUUGGCCCCUCCACCUAUAUCAAUCAUCAAGUGGAGUUGUUCAAACUCCAGCAAACCACGUCGGUCACUGAAUACCAAGGCAGGUUUGAACGCUUAUGCAAUUGUGUGGUGGGUCUCACUCCUGAAACUAUACUUAAUUGUUUCAUAUCUGGUCUGAAUGUUGAAAUCCGCAGAGAACUUACUAUAUUGAACCCAUAUUCUAUUGCCCAAGCCAUAGGUCUAGCUAAGCUUAUUGAAGACAAACUCAGAGAUUCUAAACCUAAACAAAUUCGAUUUCCAGCACCUACCUAUCCCCACCCUAACCCCACUCCCUCAUUCACUAACAGAACCAGCACACCCACAACACCCCCAGCCCAUAUGUCCAUCAAACGUUUAUCCUCCUCACAAAUGCAAGAGAGACGAGCCCUAGGGUUAUGCUACAACUGUGACGAAAAAUUCUUCCCUAGCAUAAAUGCACUUCCUCUCGAUUUUUGCUUACCUAGAACUCCUAGCUGAACCCAAUGAGGAGAUUUCCCCCACACAUGACCACGCCAACACUAUCCACUUUCACCUUUCACCUCAAGCCAUAUCAGGUACUAUUUCCCCAAAAACCCUCAAAUUCACAGGUCUAAUUCAUCACCUCCCUGUUACCGUCCUCAUUGACUCGGGAAGCUCCCACAACAUUCUUCAACCACGUAUUGCCCAUCACUUAAACCUAGCCAUAUCCCCUAGCCCACCCCUCUCGGUAAUGGUUGGAAAUGGGGCGUUCAUUAAGUGCCAGGGUAUUUGUCCAUUGGUGGACAUAUCUCUCCAGAACUCUACCUUCAUUGUUCCCUUUUACCUUCUUCCGAUUGAAGGUGCGGAUGUUGUUUUGGGUGUGGAAUGGUUGAGCACGUUAGGGUCCAUCUAAGCAGAUUUCUCAAUCCCCAGCAUACAAUUUACCCACAACAACCAACAUAUUACAUUGCAAGCCCCCCACUCACCCAACCCAUCAGCUACCACUUAUCACCAAUUUUGCCACUAUCUAUCCAAUAACUCUAUUGCCUCUUUACACCUUCUAUCGGUGGACACCCAACACUGCCCCCAUACAACCUUAGCCACUACCAUUAAUAAUCUCACAUCCCCGUUAUCUCACCUACCCUCACCCAUCCAAUCCCUCCUUCAGGAAUACCAAGGUAUUUUUCAAAAACCAAGAGGGUUACCUCCACAGAGACCACAUGACCACCAUAUUCCUCUUUUACCUCAUACCCCACCAAUCAAAGUGAAACCAUACCGGUACCCACAUCACCACAAGGAAGUUAUUACAACACCGAUAUCAGAAAUGCUGCAAGAGGGCAUUAUUCAACCUAGUACAAGCCCAUUCUCUUCACCGGUGCUCUUAAUAAAAAAAAAGAUGGAACAUGGCAUUUCUGUGUGGAUUACAAAGCCUUAAAUGCAGCCACCAUUCGUGACCACUUCCCCAUUCCCACCAUUGAUGAACUGCUCGAUGAGUUAGGCUCAGCUACUGUUUUUACUAAAAUAGACCUACACUCAGGGUACCACCAAAUACUGCUUCUCCCAGAAGACACUCACAAAACAGCGUUUCGCACUAUAGACGGCCACUAUGAAUUCUUAGUGAUGCCAUUUGGUUUAACUAACGCUCCUUCUACUUUUCAAGCAGCCAUGAAUGAUCUUCUCAGACCAUACCUCCGCCGGUUUGUCUUAGUUUUUUUUGAUGAUAUUUUGAUUUAUAGUCCAAGUUUGCAGGAUCAUAUUGCUCACCUACAAACUAUAUUGGAAGUGCUACACACUCAGCAAUUUUUUGCCAAGCUUUCAAAGUGCAGUUUCGCAACUGCGGAAGUUAGUUACUUGGGUCACAUUAUUUCUGCACAGGGAGUCCAACCAGACCCAGAGAAAGUCAAAGCCAUACACGACUGGCCGCAACCACGAUCACUCACGGAAUUACGGGGGUUCCUCGACCUCACCGGAUUUUACAGGAAAUUCAUAAAGCAUUACGCCACUCUUGCCGCUCCUCUCACCGACUUAUUACAACACCACAAAUUUUCAUGGACUGAGCUCGCGCAGAAAGCAUUCGAAAAAUUAAAAUUACACAUGAAGACAAUGCCCACACUACACCUUCCAGAUUUUAAGCUGCCCUUUGUGGUCGAAACAGAUGCCUCUGCAAUGGCCAUAGGAGUCGUCCUCAGCCAAUCUGGGCAACCACUAGUUUUUUUCAGCAAAAAGAUGAAUCCCAAGCUCCAAGCUUCCUCCGUAUAUGUCCGAGAGAUGUAUGCCAUAACAGAGUCAGUAAAAAAAUGGCGUCAAUACCUCAUAGGACAACAUUUCAGAAUCAUAACAGAUCAAAAGAGCCUAAACACCCUCCUCUCCCAAACCAUUCAGACCCCAGAACAACAGAAAUGGAUUGCUAAAUUGCAGGGAUAUGAUUUUCAAAUUAUUUACCGACCUGGGAAGGAAAAUGUUGUGGUUGAUGCCCUUUCAAGGCAAGGUCAUGAUUCCUCUACCAUACUGCUUGCAGUGUCGUCCCCAAUCCCGCAGCUUAUUCAAGAACUCCAAACUUUCUUUGCCACCACAGAAGGUCAGGGAGUGGUCCAGGCGUGCACAAGCAGUCAACAACAGCCAAGCUUGUUCUUCACUAGCCACGGUUUACUGUUUUUUCGCCAUCAGAUAUUCGUGUCAGCAUCAUCUGAUUUCCGCCAGCGCAUUAUGACAGAGUUCCAUGCUUCCCCUUAUGGCGGCCAUUCCAGCAUCAAACCAACUCUCAAGCACAUAGCCGCUUCAUUCUAUUGGCCGAAAUGGACCAGAGACGUCCAUCGUUUUGUCCAACAAUGCUCCACAUGCCAAACAAAUAAGUAUAUGCCAACCAAAACUCAGGGUUUACUGCAACCAUUACCAAUUCCAAAACAAGUAUGGGAGGACAUAUCAAUGGAUUUUAUUACUCACCUUCCAGUCUCAUCCGGACACUCGGUCAUUUGGGUAUUGUGCGACAGACUCACAAAAUAUGCGCACUUCAUCGCUCUGCCCACACACUUCACGGCCCAGCAACUAGCCAAGCGUUUCUCAGUAGAAAUUUGUCGCCUCCACGGACUACCAAAAACCAUUGUCUCAGAUCGCGACCCCUUGUUUGUUAGCACUUCCUGGCAGCACCUGUUCAAAGCACAAGGAACAACGUUAAAAUUUAGCUCGUCAUACCAUCCCCAAACGGACGGUCAAACAGAGGUAUUGAACCGCGGCUUAGAGGCCUACCUGAGAUGUUUUGUGGGAAACCAACCAAACAAGUGGUACAAAUAUCUUCACUUGGCAGAACUUUGGCAUAAUACAACGUACCAUUCGGCUAUUGGAACCUCCCCGUUCCAUGCGUUGUACAGUCGACAACCACCCACAGUAGUUGACUUCUUAAGCGUCCCAAACGCUGGAACCUCCAUCCACGAGACACUGUCGGCACACACCGUCAUCCUCCACGACCUCAAGGAGCACUUGCGUCGCACACGCCAGCGCAUGUGUGACCAAGCUAAUCGCCACCGCACAGAUCGUAGUUUCGAACCAGGAGAAUGGGUGUGGGUACGACUCCAACCCUACCGGCAACACUCAUUGGAACGGUGAACACACCAAAAGCUUGGCCCGCGUUUUUCAGACCCAUACCAGGUACUACGCCGCAUCGGUGCCGUCGCAUAUGAGCUUCAACUGCCACCGUCGACGCGGGUCCACCCGGUUUUUCACGUUUCGCUGCUCAGACCUUUCAAAGGACCUGUGGGAGAACAUCAGGGUCUUCCUACCAAAUCCAAGAACUUGGCACUUCCAACACCACUUAACUCAUCUCCCAACCCAAAUCAGAACGCUCUGAACUCACCGUAUCAGGAACCCAAUGACAACACGCCAUGUGUUACACUCACAAAUCACACCGACUUAGCUGGCAUCGAGCCUCACGCUCACGUGCCCCACCAACAAGCCAUCUCCACGCCUCAUAAUCACCUCAACACGCGUUCUGAUAGAAUCAACAACAGAGCGCCACGUGUCCCACUCACUGGUGACGCGGUUUUCCCACGCCUCGAGCCCCACGCGCACCAGCAAACCCUUCCCACGCCCAUUAAUGGGCUGAACGCGCUUCCUGACGGAGCCAACAAGAGUGUGCCGCGUGUCCCACUAACUGAUGGUGCAGCUUCCCCACACCUCGAGCCGCGCGUCCCACUCACUGCUGGUGCAGCUUCCCCACGCCUCGAGCCCAACGCUAGCACUCCACGCAAUACAAACCCUAAUUCUAAAGCACCUUAAACGGCGCCACCCCCUCAAAACCCUAAAACCUUAGCACCACUCCCUACAAACCCUAAUGACUCAACAACCAAUACCCAACCCAACUCACCCUUAAUGGCCCAUCCAAUUCCUGCACCCCCGCGCCAGAUUGCAUACACCCCACCCCAUAUCCAAACCCACGAGAACCCACAACAACCCAGUCACCGUCCAACGGCCCAACUAAUUCCAAGAUCCCACUUUGAGGACAG
rnacentral:lncRNA from 1 species